GCUUCAUUGGAGAUCUCAUCUAUUAUUUUGCUGAAUUAUGGUCUAUACAAUUACAAGGAUACAACAAUAUACAAAGACAACGUACCAUAUAUGGUCUUCAUCAACAUUUCAGUUCCACUCGCUUCUACUAGUCAUUCAUCAAUAUAAUUUUAUACCAAGCUUUUCUUUCAUAGAAUAGGCUGCUGCACACAUUUCUUACUAUAUUUGUACACUCGAUGUUUCAUCUUCAACACUGAUGGUACAUGGUUCAUACACUCACAAGGAUAUAACUGC
rnacentral:lncRNA from 1 species